GUUGACCUCGGAUCAGGUAGGAAUACCCGCUGAACUUAAGCAUAUCAAUAAGCGGAGGAAAAGAAACCAACAGGGAUUGCCCCAGUAACGGCGAGUGAAGCGGCAACAGCUCAAAUUUGAAAUCUGGCCCCUCGGGCCCGAGUUGUAAUUUGUAGAGGAUGCUUUUGGCAAGGUGCCGCCCGAGUUCCCUGGAACGGGACGCCGCAGAGGGUGAGAGCCCCGUCUGGCUGGCCACCGAGCCUCUGUAAAGCUCCUUCGACGAGUCGAGUAGUUUGGGAAUGCUGCUCAAAAUGGGAGGUAUAUGUCUUCUAAAGCUAAAUAUUGGCCAGAGACCGAUAGCGCACAAGUAGAGUGAUCGAAAGAUGAAAAGCACUUUGAAAAGAGGGUUAAACAGUACGUGAAAUUGUUGAAAGGGAAGCGCUCAUGACCAGACUUGGGCUUGGCGAAUCAUCCGGCGUUCUCGCCGGUGCACUUCGCCUCGCCCAGGCCAGCAUCAGUUCGCGCCGGGGGACAAAAGCUUCGGGAAUGUGGCUCCUCCGGGAGUGUUAUAGCCCGUUGCAUAAUACCCUGGUGCGGACUGAGGUUCGCGCAUCUGCAAGGAUGCUGGCGUAAUGGUCAUCAGCGACCCGUCUUGAAACACGGACCAAGGAGUCGUCUUCGUAUGCGAGUGUUCGGGUGUCAAACCCCUACGCGUAAUGAAAGUGAACGCAGGUGAGAGCUUCGGCGCAUCAUCGACCGAUCCUGAUGUUCUCGGAUGGAUUUGAGUAAGAGCAUACGGGGCCGGACCCGAAAGAAGGUGAACUAUGCCUGUAUAGGGUGAAGCCAGAGGAAACUCUGGUGGAGGCUCGCAGCGGUUCUGACGUGCAAAUCGAUCGUCAAAUAUGGGCAUGGGGGCGAAAGACUAAUCGAACCUUCUAGUAGCUGGUUUCCGCCGAAGUU
rnacentral:rRNA from 1 species